rnacentral:rRNA from 1 species
CAAUAGCGUAUAUUAAAGUUGUUGCGGUUAAAAAGCUCGUAGUUGGAUUUCUGCCGAGGACGACCGGUCCGCCCUCUGGGUGAGUAUCUGGUUCGGCCUGGGCAUCUUCUUGGAGAACGUAUCUGCACUUGACUGUGUGGUGCGGUAUCUGCAACUUUUACUUUGAGGAAAUUAGAGUGUUUACGGCAGGCAGUCGCCUUGAAUAUAUUAGCAUGGAAUAAUAAUAUAGGACCUUGGUUCUAUUUUGUUGGUUUCUAGAGCUGAGGUAAUGAUUAAUAGGGAUAUUUGGGGGCAUUAGUAUUACCAGGUCAGAGGUGGAAUUCUUGGAUUCUGGUACGACUAACUACUGCGAAAGCAUUUGUCAAGGAUGUUUUCAUUGAUCAAGAACGAAAGUGUGGGAUCGAAGACGAUUAGAUACCAU